rnacentral:rRNA from 1 species
GUGUCAGCAGCCGCGGUAAGACAGAGGGUGCAAACGUUGUUCGGAAUCACUGGGCGUAAAGCGUGUGUAGGCGGUCUUAUAAGUCGGAUGUGAAAGCCCCGGGCUCAACCCGGGAAGUGCACCCGAUACUGUAGGACUAGAGUACUGGAGAGGUUGGUGGAAUUCUCGGUGUAGAGGUGAAAUUCGUAGAUAUCGAGAGGAACACCGGUGGCGAAGGCGGCCAACUGGACAGAUACUGACGCUGAGACACGAAAGCGUGGGGAGCAAACAGGAUUAGAUACCCCUGUAGUCC